AUGACUUCCAAUCAUUAAGCCUUGGUUAGACCCCAAGAGAAAAUA
rnacentral:tRNA from 1 species